UUAUCGGAGAGUUUGAUCCUGGCUCAGGACGAACGCUGGCGGCGUGCCGAAUACAUGCAAGUCGAGCGGGC
rnacentral:rRNA from 1 species